rnacentral:piRNA from 1 species
UCAUCCUUCAAAUUUAAUAUG